CCUACGGGAGGCAGCAGUGGGGAAUAUUGGACAAUGGGCGGAAGCCUGAUCCAGCCAUGCCGCGUGUGUGAAGAAGGCCUUUUGGUUGUAAAGCACUUUAAGCGAGGAGGAGGCUACUAGUAUUAAUACUACUGGAUAGUGGACGUUACUCGCAGAAUAAGCACCGGCUAACUCUGUGCCAGCAGCCGCGGUAAUACAGAGGGUGCGAGCGUUAAUCGGAUUUACUGGGCGUAAAGCGUGCGUAGGCGGCUGAUUAAGUCGGAUGUGAAAUCCCUGAGCUUAACUUAGGAAUUGCAUUCGAUACUGGUCAGCUAGAGUAUGGGAGAGGAUGGUAGAAUUCCAGGUGUAGCGGUGAAAUGCGUAGAGAUCUGGAGGAAUACCGAUGGCGAAGGCAGCCAUCUGGCCUAAUACUGACGCUGAGGUACGAAAGCAUGGGGAGCAAACAGGAUUAGAUACCCUGGUAGUCCAUGCCGUAAACGAUGUCUACUAGCCGUUGGGGUCUUUGAGCUUUAGUGCGCAGCUAACGCGAUAAGUAGACCGCCUGGGGAGUACGGUCGCAGCUAAAACGUCGAAAGGAUUGACGG
rnacentral:rRNA from 1 species